UCGGUCAACCGACUGUCGCCGUGGGAGCCAUUGCGGUGUACUGCUCCUUGGCUGAUUCCUAGAUAUGGAUGCACUAGUCCGUGUAGGGUUGCUGCUACACAUAUGCUAUACUAAAUAAGGAGCAGCAGUUGUCGUCAUCAUCGUUGUCUUUAUUGUUGUUGUCCCCAUCGUCAACCUUGUUGUUGUUGCCGUCGUCAUUAUCGUCGUUGAUGUUCUUAUCCUCAAAGUAUUCUUAAAUAAAUUAUAAACCACUUGUUGGUCUACUAUGAUAUGUUUGGACUACAAUCAUCCAGUGUAUUGUUAUCCGAUUCAUCAAGUGAAAUGGGAACAAGAAAGAGCAAUAAAGAGAAGAAAGAAUGUGCAGGUAACUAGAAGG
rnacentral:lncRNA from 1 species